UACGUAGGGGGCAAGCGUUGUCCGGAAUCAUUGGGCGUAAAGAGCGCGCAGGCGGUUGUGCAAGUCGCGUGUGAAAGCCCCCGGCUCAACUGGGGAGGGUCACGCGAUACUGUUCGACUUGAAGGCAGGAGAGGGAAGUGGAAUUCCCGGUGUAGUGGUGAAAUGCGUAGAUAUCGGGAGGAACACCAGUGGCGAAGGCGACUUCCUGGCCUGUUCUUGACGCUGAGGCGCGAAAGCUAGGGUAGCAAACGGG
rnacentral:rRNA from 1 species